GUAGAUAGGCCGGAUGUGGAAGAAGGGACGAAAGACCUUCGGAGCUGACCGGUACUAAUAAGCCGAUAACUUGAUAACA
rnacentral:rRNA from 1 species